GGUACAAUUUCAGAGAAUUUUGUUACUUGAGUAAUACACACAACUAACUUCUGCAACGAGCUGAAUUUAGAUUACGUGAUUUAGCUAAGUCUGAUGUGAAAGUAUUCACUCAAAUCAACUAAAGGAAUCAAUAACAAGAUGCUGGAGUUGAGCAAGUCAAUCUGGCAAUCAAAUUCUAUUCUUAGUGUAUGCCAAAUUUGAUUAUGUCUCUUAAGGCAUUUAGUCAAGAAUUCUUUAGAGAAGCUAUCAAGGAGACGAAAAGCUAUGUGAAGUAAAAGAGUAAACGGUCGGAGAUGCCCUUGUAGAUCACCUACCCAGCUUUGGAAGAACAUGGGUGGAUAAUUAUCACCGGAUUUGAUCAAAAAACACAGGGCGUAGUUACCUUAUUCUUUUGAGAAGGCGUUCUUCUACUGGAGAUUCUGAUGACAAGAAGAUCAGUGAGGAGCAAAUGGAAAGCUAUUGCUUGGUUGAUUAUCAAAAAUCGAUGUUCAGAGCUACUGUCACUUUAUUGAAAAUGUUAAUCUAAUUGCAAGUUCUUUGUUUGCUUGUUCUGUAAUGCCAACAUGACGGGUAACAAAGACAAAAAGGUUGAGAGUAAUGCAUGUUUCACGUUGUGUCAUAUGAGAGUAUACCUCCAGCUAAAGAAUAUAGUGACUU